AGAUACAUAGUACAUUAUUUAAGUCGUAAUACUACCAAGAGACAACUAACUGUUCUAUUACUAAGUUGCAAAAUGUUAGUGAAAGGAAGCUUAUUGAUAAUGAGUAAUUUAAUUAAUGUCGAUUGUUUGGAUGAUGUGAAUGAAAAGUGACAGAUAUCUCUUAACUUGUUUAUUUGUGGCGAUAAUGACUUAGUACCUACUUUCACUUUUCCUCUUUUAGUUAAGUACAAAAAAUUAAGUGGAUAACGUUUGUGUAACUCAGCAUUCAAUAAAUAUAAAUCAGUAAGCAGAAAAUCUUCACGCAGACUAUAUGAAGCCAAAUAGGGCGAUCGAGUCGGAGAGAGCGCGGCCCGGUUGCGACCGGUCGGCCCCACUGCCAGCGCGCGCGCACACGCCGCUCUGCGCCGCCGACGUCGCGACGCACCCGUGUGCCACACACCGGACUGUACCACUGCUAUCGUUAAACAACAGUUUAUUUUAUCGUAAAUCCGCAGACAUAUCGAAGUGAAGAAAAUAAACAUGUUUUAAACAGUGA